rnacentral:rRNA from 1 species
GACGAACGCUGGCGGCGUGCCUAAUACAUGCAAGUCGAACGCUGAAGGAGGAGCUUGCUUCUCUGGAUGAGUUGCGAACGGGUGAGUAACGCGUAGGUAACCUGCCUGGUAGCGGGGGAUAACUAUUGGAAACGAUAGCUAAUACCGCAUAAUAGUAGAUGUUGCAUGACAUUUGCUUAAAAGGUGCAAUUGCAUCACUACCAGAUGGACCUGCGUUGUAUUAGCUAGUUGGUGGGGUAACGGCUCACCAAGGCGACGAUACAUAGCCGACCUGAGAGGGGGAUCGGCCACACUGGGACUGAGACACGGCCCAGACUCCUACGGGAGGCAGCAGUAGGGAAUCUUCGGAAAUGGACGGAAGUCUGACCGAGCAACGCCGCGUGAGUGAAGAAGGGUUUCGGAUCGUAAAGCUCUGUUGUAAGAGAAGAACGAGUGUGAGAGUGGAAAGUUCACACUGUGACGGUAUCUUACCAGAAAGGGACGGCUAACUACGUG